rnacentral:rRNA from 1 species
GAUGAACGCUGGCGGCGUGCCUAAUACAUGCAAGUCGAGCGAACAGAUGAGGAGCUUGCUCCUCUGACGUUAGCGGCGGACGGGUGAGUAACACGUGGAUAACCUACCUAUAAGACUGGGAUAACUUCGGGAAACCGGAGCUAAUACCGGAUAAUAUAUUGAACCGCAUGGUUCAAUAGUGAAAGACGGUUUUGCUGUCACUUAUAGAUGGAUCCGCGCCGCAUUAGCUAGUUGGUAAGGUAACGGCUUACCAAGGCAACGAUGCGUAGCCGACCUGAGAGGGUGAUCGGCCACACUGGAGCUGAGACACGAUCCAGACUCCUACGGGAGGCAGCAGUAGGGAAUCUUCCGCAAUGGGCGAAAGCCUGACGGAGCAACGCCGCGUGAGUGAUGAAGGUCUUCGGAUCGUAAAACUCUGUUAUUAGGGAAGAACAAAUGUGUAAGUAACUAUGCACGUCUUGACGGUACCUAAUCAGAAAGCCACGGCUAACUACGUG